rnacentral:tRNA from 1 species
GCGGUUGUGGCGAAGUGGUUAACGCACCGGACUGUGGCUCCGGCAUUCGCGGGUUCGAAUCCCAUCAGCCGCCCCA